GGGGAAUAUUGGACAAUGGGGGAAACCCUGAUCCAGCAACGCCGCGUGGAGGAUGAAGGUCUUCGGAUUGUAAACUCCUGUUAGGGGGGACGAAGGGAUGUCGGCGAACAGUCGGCAAACUUGACGGUACCCCCAGAGGAAGCCCCGGCUAACUCUGUGCCAGCAGCCGCGGUAAUACAGAGGGGGCAAGCGUUAUUCGGAAUUAUUGGGCGUAAAGGGCGCGUAGGCGGCCUUGUAAGUCUUGGGUGAAAUCCCUCAGCUCAACUGAGGAACUGCCUCGGAUACUGCAAGGCUUGAGGCCGGGAGAGGGUAGUGGAAUUCCCAGUGUAGCGGUGAAAUGCGUAGAUAUUGGGAGGAACACCGGUGGCGAAGGCGGCUACCUGGACCGGUUCUGACGCUGAUGCGCGAAAGCGUGGGUAGCAAAC
rnacentral:rRNA from 1 species